ACCAGACUCCUACGGGAGGCAGCAGUGGGGGAUAUUGCACAAUGGGGGGAACCCUGAUGCAGCGACGCCGCGUGGGUGAAGGAGUAUUUCGGUAUGUAAAGCCCUAUCGGCAGGGAAGAAGGAGGACGGUACCUGACUAAGAAGCCCCGGCUAACUACGUGCCAGCAGCCGCGGUAAUACGUAGGGGGCAAGCGUUAUCCGGAUUUACUGGGUGUAAAGGGGGCGCAGACGGCAGCGCAAGCCAGGAGUGAAAGCCCGGGGCUCAACCCCGGGACUGCAUUUGGAACUGUGCUGCUAGAGUGUCGGAGAGGCAGGCGGAAUUCCUAGUGUAGCGGUGAAAUGCGUAGAUAUUAGGAGGAACACCAGUGGCGAAGGCGGCCUGCUGGACGAUGACUGACGUUGAGGCUCGAAAGCGUGGGGAGCAAACAGGAUUAGAUACCCCAGUA
rnacentral:rRNA from 1 species